CAGCCGCCGCGGUAAUACGAAGGGGGCUAGCGUUGUUCGGAAUUACUGGGCGUAAAGCGCACGUAGGCGGAUAUUUAAGUCAGGGGUGAAAUCCCGCAGCUCAACUGCGGAACUGCCUCUGAUACUGGGUAUCUUGAGUAUGGAAGAGGUUAGUGGAAUUGCGAGUGUAGAGGUGAAAUUCGUAGAUAUUCGCAGGAACACCAGUGGCGAAGGCGGCUAACUGGUCCAUAACUGACGCUGAGGUGCGAAAGCGUGGGGAGCAAACAGGAUUAGAUACCCCGGUAGUCCCUGUCUCUUAUAC
rnacentral:rRNA from 1 species